rnacentral:tRNA from 1 species
CCCUGUGGUCUAGUGGUUAGGAGUUGGUGCUUUCGUCAUGACAGCCCAGGUUCAAUUCCUGGUUAGAGA